rnacentral:lncRNA from 1 species
GUGUUUAUAAUGAAGUUUGACCAAAUAUGCCUACAUAUCUGAUUACAGAGCAGUUUAUUAGAAGUGAGAGAGAAGAGAGAGAAAUUGUGAUUCAUUGAUUAUAGCAAAGUUAGUUACAACUGAAAGUGAUUCUUAUCUUAUAUAAGAAUCUGAAAACUAACUAGGAGAUAUUCUAGAAGCAGUAUUACAAAGCUAAACUGAGCUUAGCCAUCUAGAGUACUAUAUAUCUCUAAUACAGUUAACUGCUCUAUAAUCAGAGAUGUAGGCGCUAACAAAGAACUACAACUAAAUAGGGACGAGUGAGCAGAACGAGUGGUUCAAGGGUAUUAUUGUAAUUUGGACUUUGUGAAUCUUAAUUCUUUUCACUUAUACCCCCUAAAAGAAUUAGAUUCACAAAUGAGUCAUACACUACAAAAUUGAAUUUU